CGUUUUUGGGUGUGAGUGUGUGUUUGUAUGCGGCUGUAGUCUGUAGAGGAAUCGAGGGUAUGAGAAGGACUCCAUGGAUACCUUAUAAGCAAAGCUUGAUCGGGGAUUCUAUCAGUGAAGAAGAUCAAACUAGAAGAGUUGCAAUCACCACCUUUGGCUCCGACCUUGGGGGAGCUAUUCAGCGAAGCUAGGUUCUGCCGUUUCACGUUAACAACUUGUAUCCGAUAAACAAAGUUAGUAGUGUGAUUUGCGGUAAGAUUUACAGUGGUGUUGAAGGUAUUCAGAAAUGAUAAUGAGAUGGUCAUGGGAUAUCAUCUGAUUGUGCAAUUGAGCGAGUCCUCAUUUUCGGAGUUGAAAGUGUCGUUGGUGAAGGAGGCUUGGCCGGAGAAAAAGGUGCCAUCGGCCACUGUGGCGUUAUAAGAUGCAAAAAAUGUUGAGGCGGUAUCUGCUUUGUGCUCUACGCCAACAUACUCAAGGUGGCCUAGAUAGACUGUAGACCCAGUAAGGGCGUACUAGUCAGGCCGAAGGCCCGACGAACGGUCCGGAUAUGUUGAAGACCCUGCGAGGCAAUCCAGACGUGUCGAUGGCUCGGAGAGCGGUCCAGAUAGGCUGAUGGCCCUGUGAGACGGUCCAGUCAGGCUGAUGGCUCAAUCUACAUGUACUUCGGAUUAUCGUGUGAAGGCAAAGGCAUGAUCGUGCACCUCGUCACAUUUUAUGACUUUGAUUUCUAGAAUUCUCUGAUAUGAAACUAUUUUGAAAACAUUUUGUAAUAACUCGUGGUUUUUGGAUGUUUGAAAAGGUUUAAAAUUUGCAUGAAUUUUAUGGAUAUUACAAGUUGGUAUCAGAGCCUUGGUUUGAGUGAAUUGCAGGAACACUCGUGUGAAUUCAGUAUCAAACUAAGGACAAGAUUUUCAAAAUGAUUUUUUAAAUAGUUUUCAAAAUAAUAAAGGAGGAUACGAUGUGUACGAUCAGCCAGAGCCAAUAAGUAGACCCCAAAAUACCAUACGGUUAUUUGAUAUUGGGAUAUGUUAGAACAACAUGUUAGUGAUAGGCUAAGGAUCUUCAGGAAUUGCAUGAUAGAAUUGCAUGAUUAUAUGAUGUCUGAUAGCCUAGGGUUUUC